AGCUCAGUUGGCUAGAGCGCAGCAUUCACAUUGCUGAGGUCAGAGGUUCAAGCCCUCUA
rnacentral:tRNA from 1 species